rnacentral:rRNA from 1 species
AAAUUGAAGAGUUUGAUCAUGGCUCAGAUUGAACGCUGGCGGCAGGCCUAACACAUGCAAGUCGAACGGUAACAGGAAGAAGCUUGCUUCUUUGCUGACGAGUGGCGGACGGGUGAGUAAUGUCUGGGAAACUGCCUGAUGGAGGGGGAUAACUACUGGAAACGGUAGCUAAUACCGCAUAACGUCGCAAGACCAAAGAGGGGGACCUUCGGGCCUCUUGCCAUCGGAUGUGCCCAGAUGGGAUUAGCUAGUAGGUGGGGUAACGGCUCACCUAGGCGACGAUCCCUAGCUGGUCUGAGAGGAUGACCAGCCACACUGGAACUGAGACACGGUCCAGACUCCUACGGGAGGCAGCAGUGGGGAAUAUUGCACAAUGGGCGCAAGCCUGAUGCAGCCAUGCCGCGUGUAUGAAGAAGGCCUUCGGGUUGUAAAGUACUUUCAGCGGGGAGGAAGGGAGUAAAGUUAAUACCUUUGCUCAUUGACGUUACCCGCAGAAGAAGCACCGGCUAACUCCGUGCCAGCAGCCGCGGUAAUACGGAGGGUGCAAGCGUUAAUCGGAAUUACUGGGCGUAAAGCGCACGCAGGCGGUUUGUUAAGUCAGAUGUGAAAUCCCCGGGCUCAACCUGGGAACUGCAUCUGAUACUGGCAAGCUUGAGUCUCGUAGAGGGGGGUAGAAUUCCAGGUGUAGCGGUGAAAUGCGUAGAGAUCUGGAGGAAUACCGGUGGCGAAGGCGGCCCCCUGGACGAAGACUGACGCUCAGGUGCGAAAGCGUGGGGAGCAAACAGGAUUAGAUACCCUGGUAGUCCACGCCGUAAACGAUGUCGACUUGGAGGUUGUGCCCUUGAGGCGUGGCUUCCGGAGUUAACGCGUUAAGUCGACCGCCUGGGGAGUACGGCCGCAAGGUUAAAACUCAAAUGAAUUGACGGGGGCCCGCACAAGCGGUGGAGCAUGUGGUUUAAUUCGAUGCAACGCGAAGAACCUUACCUGGUCUUGACAUCCACGGAAGUUUUCAGAGAUGAGAAUGUGCCUUCGGGAACCGUGAGACAGGUGCUGCAUGGCUGUCGUCAGCUCGUGUUGUGAAAUGUUGGGUUAAGUCCCGCAACGAGCGCAACCCUUAUCCUUUGUUGCCAGCGGUCCGGCCGGGAACUCAAAGGAGACUGCCAGUGAUAAACUGGAGGAAGGUGGGGAUGACGUCAAGUCAUCAUGGCCCUUACGACCAGGGCUACACACGUGCUACAAUGGCGCAUACAAAGAGAAGCGACCUCGCGAGAGCAAGCGGACCUCAUAAAGUGCGUCGUAGUCCGGAUUGGAGUCUGCAACUCGACUCCAUGAAGUCGGAAUCGCUAGUAAUCGUGGAUCAGAAUGCCACGGUGAAUACGUUCCCGGGCCUUGUACACACCGCCCGUCACACCAUGGGAGUGGGUUGCAAAAGAAGUAGGUAGCUUAACCUUCGGGAGGGCGCUUACCACUUUGUGAUUCAUGACUGGGGUGAAGUCGUAACAAGGUAACCGUAGGGGAACCUGCGGUUGGAUCACCUCCUUACCUUAAAGAAGC